UCCUCUUGUCGGGCACAAGAUGAGUUCGAGUGCGCCAAUGGAGAGUGUAUCAGCUUCAGCCUCACCUGUGAUGGUGUCUCCCACUGCAAGGACAAGUCUGAUGAGAAGCCCUCCUACUGCAGUAAGAGCCCCUUUCAGCUCCUGCUCCUCCUAGAUGACAGCUUAGGACCUCCUCCUGAGUCCCCUGGGCCAUGUGACCCAGCUCAUAGCCUGCACUCAAGAAGAGCAGAGUCCAUGGAGGGGACUCAACAGUCAUGGGGUAGGGGCAGCCCCUUCCUGUGCCAGCUGUGACCACCCGCAUCCUCCCUUCACAGACUCACGCCGCUGCAAGAAGACUUUCCGCCAGUGCAACAACGGCCGCUGUGUAUCUAACAUGCUGUGGUGCA
rnacentral:lncRNA from 1 species